rnacentral:rRNA from 1 species
CCAUGUUAGAUGCUUGAAAGGAGCAAUUGCUCCACUAGUAGAUGGACCUGCGUUGUAUUAGCUAGUUGGUGAGGUAACGGCUCACCAAGGCGACGAUACAUAGCCGACCUGAGAGGGUGAUCGGCCACACUGGGACUGAGACACGGCCCAGGCUCCUACGGGAGGCAGCAGUAGGGAAUCUUCGGCAAUGGGGGCAACCCUGACCGAGCAACGCCGCGUGAGUGAAGAAGGUUUUCGGAUCGUAAAGCUCUGUUGUAAGAGAAGAACGUGUGUGAGAGUGGAAAGUUCACACAGUGACGGUAACUUACCAGAAAGGGACGGCUAACUACGUGCCAGCAGCCGCGGUAAUACGUAGGUCCCGAGCGUUGUCCGGAUUUAUUGGGCGUAAAGCGAGCGCAGGCGGUUUAAUAAGUCUGAAGUUAAAGGCAGUGGCUUAACCAUUGUUCGCUUUGGAAACUGUUAGACUUGAGUGCAGAAGGGGAGAGUGGAAUUCCAUGUGUAGCGGUGAAAUGCGUAGAUAUAUGGAGGAACACCGGUGGCGAAAGCGGCUCUCUGGUCUGUAACUGACGCUGAGGCUCGAAAGCGUGGGGAGCAAACAGGAUUAGAUACCCUGGUAGUCCACGCCGUAAACGAUGAGUGCUAGGUGUUAGGCCCUUUCCGGGGCUUAGUGCCG